rnacentral:rRNA from 1 species
UACGGGGGGGGCAAGCGUUGUGCGGAAUUACUGGGCGUAAAGGGUGCGUAGGUGGUUUGUUAAGUCUGCUGUGAAAUCCCCGGGCUCAACCUGGGAAUGGCAGUGGAUACUGGCAAGCUAGAGUGCGGUAGAGGGUAGUGGAAUUCCCGGUGUAGCAGUGAAAUGCGUAGAGAUCGGGAGGAACACCAGUGGCGAAGGCGGCUACCUGGACCAGCACUGACACUGAAGCACGAAAGCGUGGGGAGCAAACAGG